UGAACAAUUGUCCUAAAAAAAAAAAAAAAAUGAACAGCCUCAAGGACUUUGGGGACUAUAACAAAAGAGUUGACAUUUGUGUCAUCAGAGUUCUAGAAGGAGAGAUAAAGGGGAGUGGAGCUGAGAAAGUACAUGGAGAAAUAAGGAGUGAAAGCUCCCCAAAUUUGGCAAAAGACAUAAACCUACAGAUUCAAAAGUUGACCAAACCACAAACAGGAUGAACCCAAAGAAAUUUGUAUCAAUACAACACAGUCAACUUCUGAAAACUAAAGACAAAGAAAAAAUCUUGCAACCAAGGAUAGAGAAAUAGCACCUUAAUAGGGGAAAAACAGCUUAAAUGACAGCAGAUUUCUCAUCAGAAACCCUGGGGCCAAAGGAGGUGAUACAACAGUUUUCAAGUGCUCCAGGCAAAGAACCAUUGAUAUAGAAUCCUAGUUCCAGCAAAAAUAAAAGGGGAAGUCAAGACACUUGAAGAUGAAGGAAUGCUGAGAUAUCUUUUUGCCAUUAGACCUAUCCUACAAGAAUGGCUAAGAAAAGUUCUCUAAACGGAAAAGAAUAAAAGCAGGAAUUCUGGAACAUCAGGAAGAAAGAACACAGUAUGCAGAAUUGUGGGUCAAUAGCACGGACUUUGCUUCUCCUCUUGGGUUUUCUAAAUUAUGUUUGAUAUUUGAAACACAAUUUAUAACAUGCUCUGAUGUGGCUCAUUUAAGACAAUUAUAAAUUAUAUAAUAAAUAAAGGAGGGUAAAGGAACAGAAAGGGAGGUAAAGUUUUUACACUUUGUUUGAACUGAUAAAAUGAUGACACCAGUAAACUGUGAUAAGUUAUGUAUAUAUAAUAUAACUAGAGCAACCACUAACAAAGCUAUACUAAGAGAUACACUUAAAAAAAAUUAUAGGGAAAUACAAAUGAAAAAUUUGUUCAAGUAACCCACAGGAGGGCAGGAAAAGGAGAACAGAGAAACAAAACCCAGAGAGAGCAAAGAAAACAAAAACUUAAGCCCUCACACAUCAAUAAUAACAUAAAUGGUCCACAGCACCAUUUAAAAGACCGAGUAGAUUUUUUAAAAUGACCCAACUAUCUUAUUUCAGGUUACUAUAACAAAAUGCCAUAAACCUGGCAGCUUAGACAAUAGAAAUGUAUUCCUCACAGUUCUGGAGGUAGGAAGUCCAGAUCAGGUGCCAGCAUGGUCCUGUUCUAGUGAAGCCCCUCUUCUGAGUUGUGGACAGCUGACUGUUUAUAUUUCCACAUGGUGGAAACAGAGUCAGCUCACUCUCUGGCUUCUUCUCCUAAGGAUACUAAUCAAAUUCAUGAGGGCUCCACCCUCAUGACCUAAUUACCUCCUAAAGGCCCCACCUCCAAAUACCAUCACAUUGGGAUUAGGAUUUCAACAUAUGAAUUUGGGAGGGGACACAUACAUUCAGUCCCUAUCGCCAACUAUGUGCUAUCUACAAGAAAUUGGCCUUCUAUAUAACAGUAUAGGGAGGUUGAAAAUAAAAGGGUGGAAAAGAUGUGCCUUACAAAUAUUAAUCUGAAGAAAACGGAAGUAUCUAUAUUAAUAUCAGAUAAAUUAGAUUUGAAAGCAAAGAAAAUUACCAGACAAAAGUGGCACAUUACAAAAUGACAUUGUUAAUCUACUAAAACAUGGCAAUCCUAAAUGUG